GACGAACGUUGGCGGCGUGCUUAAUACAUGCAAGUCCACUGAAGCAGUGGUAGCAAUAUCGCUGUGGAGGUGGCGCACGGGGGAGUAACACGUAGGUAAUCUGCCUUCAGGUCUGGCAUAACUCCGGGAAACCGGGGCUAAUAGCAGAUGAUGCAGCGGCUCGACAUCGAGACAGUUGUUAAAGCUAUGGCGCCUGAAGAUGAGCCUGCGUCUGAUUAGCUAGUUGGCGGGGUAACGGCCCACCAAGGCAACGAUCAGUAGCUGGUCUGAGAGGAUGAUCAGCCACACUGGAACUGAGACACGGUCCAGACUCCUACGGGAGGCAGCAGUAAGGAAUAUUGCUCAAUGGGAGAAAUCCUGAAGCAGCAACGCCGCGUGAGGGACGAAGGGCUUUGGCUUGUAAACCUCUGUAGUGAGAGAAAAAAAUCCCAAUCUUUGGGACAUGAUGGUAUCUCAAAAGUAAGCCCCGGCUAACUACGUG
rnacentral:rRNA from 1 species